CUGAAAGACACGCUAGGUUUGAUUGCAAAGCAGUCAGAAGAGCUGGAAAGCCAUGCAGAGCACCUGUACAAGUCCAUUCUUGCUGCUGUGGGUCCUGUGCAGGGCAAGGACGAGGUGGAGGACGAGGGAGAUGCAGCACAAAGCUGCCCCAUGGAUGCUGCUGCCUCUGUCAGACCUGGACUUCGUUAGCCCAUCUUGGGAGGGCUGAGAAGAACUGCAGCAAGCACCAAACCACCUCCACCACCACUUGCUGCAGAGAUGCCAAAAUGUGUUCAGUGAGCCCACCAGGGCUUGAGAAAGGUGUGUGGUACAGCAGGCACUCUGCUGCUGGGACGCCUGGAGUCGUGUAAGGAAUGUACAGCUGGCCUUUUUCUGGUUUGUUUUUUUAACAUAGCUUUCCUUUCUUUAUUGAAGUGGCCUGUUCCAUGUGUUAGCAGAAUGUCAGGAACAGAGUUUUUUAACUGAGUAAUCCAUAGUGUUGCCAUGCAGCUCCCUGCCAAGUAAAGCCGUGUGAUUUUAAUA